rnacentral:misc_RNA from 1 species
GGCUAUUGAUGUUGCUGAGAAGCUUGUACGAGCUUCACCUGAUGAGCUCAAGUUUUUAGCUUCUGAUCUAACCAGUAUCCUAAUACAACUUCGCUGCUCUGAUUCAACUAUUGAAGGGGAAGAAGAGUCUUCUGAAGAGAAGAGACAAAAAGCGAUUGUUGCUUUGAUUGUCACAUGUCCUCAUGAAUCUCUCAGUACACUAAAUAAAUUACUAUAUUCACCAAGUUUAGA